rnacentral:rRNA from 1 species
CAGCCGCCGCGGGAAUACGGAGGGUGCAAGCGUUAUCCGGAUUCACUGGGUUUAAAGGGUGCGUAGGCGGAUCUGUAAGUCAGUGGUGAAAUCUCCAGGCUUAACCUGGAAACUGCCGUUGAUACUAUAGGUCUUGAAUUUUGUGGAGGUUAGCGGAAUAUGUCAUGUAGCGGUGAAAUGCAUAGAUAUGACAUAGAACACCAAUUGCGAAGGCAGCUGGCUACACAACUAUUGACGCUGAGGCACGAAAGCGUGGGGAUCAAACAGGAUUAGAUACCCCCAGUAGUCCCUGUCUCUUAUU